CCUACGGGUGGCAGCAGUGAGGAAUAUUGGUCAAUGGACGAGAGUCUGAACCAGCCAAGUAGCGUGAAGGAUGACUGCCCUCUGGGUUGUAAACUUCUUUUAUAAAGGUAUAAACCGAGGCACGUCUGCCUUUUUACGUGUCCUUUAUGUAUAAGGAUCGGCUAACUCCGUGCCAGCAGCCGCGGUCAUACGGAGGAUCCGAUCGUUAUCCGGAUGUAGUGGGUUUAAGGGGCGCGUAGAUGGGUUGUUAAGUCGGUUGUGAAAGUUUGCGGCUCAACCGUAAAAUUGCAAUUGAUACUGGCAGUCUGGAGUACAGUUGAGGUAGGUGGAAUUCGUGGUGUAGCGGUGAAAUGCUUAGAUAUCACGAAGAACCUCGAUUGCGAAGGCAGCUUACUAAACUGUGACUGACAUUGAUGCUCGAAAGUGUGGGUAUCAAACAGGAUUAGAUACCCCGGUAGUC
rnacentral:rRNA from 1 species